rnacentral:rRNA from 1 species
UGGGGAAUAUUGGACAAUGGGCGCAAGCCUGAUCCAGCCAUGCCGCGUGAACGAUGAAGGCCUUAGGGUUGUAAAGUUCUUUUGUCAGGGAAGAUAAUGACGGUACCUGAAGAAUAAGCACCGGCUAACUUCGUGCCAGCAGCCGCGGUAAUACGAAGGGUGCUAGCGUUGUUCGGAAUCACUGGGCGUAAAACGCGCGUAGGCGGCGAUAUAAGUCAGAGGUGAAAGCCUGGAGCUCAACUCCAGAACUGCCUUUGAAACUAUAUUGCUAGAGUGUCGGAGGGGAUAGCGGAAUUGCUAAUGUAGAGGUGAAAUUCGUAGAUAUUAGCAGGAACACCGGUGGCGAAGGCGGCUAUCUGGACGACAACUGACGCUGAGGCGCGAAAGCGUGGGGAUCAAACAGGAUUAGAUACCCCCGUAGUCCCUGAGCGGGCUGGCAAGGCGCAU